GGCUGCAGUCGAGCGAAUCUGAUGGGAGCUUGCUCCCUGAAGAUUAGCGGCGGACGGGUGAGUAACACGUGGGCAACCUGCCUGUAAGCUUGGGAUAACUUCGGGAAACCGGAGCUAAUACCGAAUAACUUCUUUCUUCACAUGAAGAAAGGUUGAAAGACGGUUAUGCUGUCACUUACAGAUGGGCCCGCGGCGCAUUAGCUAGUUGGUGAGGUAACGGCUCACCAAGGCGACGAUGCGUAGCCGACCUGAGAGGGUGAUCGGCCACACUGGGACUGAGACACGGCCCAGACUCCUACGGGAGGCAGCAGUAGGGAAUCUUCCGCAAUGGACGAAAGUCUGACGGAGCAACGCCGCGUGAGUGAAGAAGGUUUUCGGAUCGUAAAACUCUGUUAUCAGGGAAGAACAAGUACCAUUUAACUGAUGGUACCUUGACGGUACCUGACCAGAAAGCCACGGCUAACUACGUGCCAGCAGCCGCGGUAAUACGUAGGUGGCAAGCGUUGUCCGGAAUUAUUGGGCGUAAAGCGCGCGCAGGCGGUUCUUUAAGUCUGAUGUGAAAUCUCGCGGCUCAACCGUGAGCGGUCAUUGGAAACUGGAGAACUUGAGUGCAGAAGAGAAGAGCGGAAUUCCACGUGUAGCGGUGAAAUGCGUAGAGAUGUGGAGGAACACCAGUGGCGAAGGCGGCUCUUUGGUCUGUAACUGACGCUGAGGCGCGAAAGCGUGGGGAGCGAACAGGAUUAGAUACCCUGGUAGUCCACGCCGUAAACGAUGAGUGCUAAGUGUUAGAGGGUUUCCGCCCUUUAGUGCUGCAGCAAACGCAUUAAGCACUCCGCCUGGGGAGUACGGCCGCAAGGUGAAACUCAAAGGAAUUGACGGGGGCCCGCACAAGCGGUGGAGCAUGUGGUUUAAUUCGAAGCAACGCGAAAACCUUACCAGGCUUGACAUCCUUAUGACCUCCCUAGAGAUAGGGAUUCCCUUCGGGGACUAAGUGACGGCAUGGGUCG
rnacentral:rRNA from 1 species